rnacentral:rRNA from 1 species
AUUGAACGCUGGCGGCAGGCUUAACACAUGCAAGUCGAGCGGAGUGAUGGUGCUUGCACUAUCACUUAGCGGCGGACGGGUGAGUAAUGCAUAGGAAUCUGCCUUAUAGUGGGGGAUAACCCGGGGAAACUCGGGCUAAUACCGCAUAAUCUCUACGGAGCAAAGUGGGGGACCUUCGGGCCCUACGCUAAAAGAUGAGCCUAUGUUGGAUUAGCUAGUUGGUAGGGUAAAGGCCUACCAAGGCGACGAUCCAUAGCUGGUCUGAGAGGAUGAUCAGCCACACUGGGACUGAGACACGGCCCAGACUCCUACGGGAGGCAGCAGUGGGGAAUAUUGGACAAUGGGCGAAAGCCUGAUCCAGCAACGCCGUGUGUGUGAAGAAGGCCUUCGGGUUGUAAAGCACUUUUAGUGGGGAAGAAAAGCUCAUGGCUAAUAUCCAUGAGUGCUGACGUUACCCACAGAAAAAGCACUGGCUAACUCUGUGCCAGCCGCCGCAGUAA